rnacentral:rRNA from 1 species
GACCCCAGGUCAGGCGGGAUUCACCCGCUGAGUUUAAGCAUAUCAAUAAGCGGAGGAAAAGAAACUAACAAGGAUUCCCCUAGUAACGGCGAGCGAACCGGGAACAGCUCAGCUUUAAAAUCGGGCGGCUUUGUCGUCUGAAUUGUAGUCUGGAGAAGCGUCCUUUGUGGCGGACCGAGCCCAAGUCCCCUGGAAAGGGGCGCCAGAGAGGGUGAGAGCCCCGUCGUGCUCGGACCCUGUCGCACCACGAGGCGUUGUCUACGAGUCGGGUUGUUUGGGAAUGCAGCCC